UCCCAUUUACCAUCGCGCAUUGUGCCCAGAGACUUUUCUCUGUGUUCUAAUUUGUUUUCAUUAGUUCAGUCUGUAGUCGCAUCCACAAAAACGAGCUGCGGAUAUCCACAUCCACAUCUGCAGACGCAGGUAUCCCCCAGAUGUAAAGUGGAUAUCUGCAGAUUUGCAGGCCUGUACCCCUUUUCCCACCCUAUCAGCAGGCCAGUAUUGUUGGCAAAAGCCAGAAGAGUAUGGUAGCCCCAUUUCCAUCAGCCGCUGUGGAAAGAACUGGGGAGCAGUGAUCCAGAGUUAAACUCCAGUACUGUGCAUCCACCCACUGUUCUGCUAGUUCACCAUUUUCUUCAGUUAGUCACUGACAGUCACCCACGUUUUAUCAUGCUCAAGGUUAUGUGGGCUGGCAAACUUAAAUUGUUUGCACAGAGGAUUGUAGAUGGAUAUGAUGGAAAUGCCACUAGUGUCUGAAAUCAGGAGUUAAAUGUCAUCGUUAUUGGUCAUAGAUGUUGUGUUGUUGACGAGACCAGUUUUGAUGGAAACAGGGCUGCCGUAUUGCUUGUGUGGCUUUUCGAUGGCCAAGUUCAUCCUGAGAACCUGGGAGCUACGUGGUCACUUCCACAUAACAAUCUCCUACGUGGCAUGUUUGGAUCUGACUUAGGCCAGUAAUGACAUAAAGCCAUUACCAUUGGAGGACACUAAAAUAAGUUGAUUUUUUCACACAGUUUUCAAAUAUCUGAUCAGGAAAAAGAAUACAAAUUUGUGUUCUCUCAGCAAGGCGAGACUGUCUUACCUUGCAUUCCAUUCGUAGCCCCCUCUCUGUGGGCGCAUGUUUUGUUGUGGAAUCAUGAGCCACGAGUUUCCGAUUCAGCACUGCUAACCUUGGCCCUCGAUAUUGUAUUCUGCAGCUCUCUGCUAAAUUCAUCAAGACUUACAUAGUCAAUAGAGAUGUCAAGCCAGUAAAUCGAAUGAAAGAAGUACUAUUUGAAAGAGAAAAUUAGCUGGGUCCUUUUGAUAGGUAUUUAUGACACAAGGCUAGAAUAGGCUUCACAGUCAUCUAGGCACAGAAAUCGUUUUCCAAACGCCAAGAUGAAAGGGUGUUGAUUGUUCAUCUUCUUGCAUGUUAUUUUGGUUAUCAAAGAGCCGUUUCCUGAUGACUUCUCAAAUGGUUAGUGACAAUGGUUGCUGGCUAAUGCAACCUAGCAGGCUAAUGCAAAUAUUUAGGUAUUCAUAUGACAUAGACUUCACAGAUCACAUUUGUGUCCAACUUCACUCCAUCUACCAUAGCAUUUGGAGUCUGCCCAUCUGCAGGAGCACAUAGUAGUACUGCAGUGAACAGAUAUUUUUGGCACUGGAGUCAAACAUUGUGAUGCUGCUUCUCGGCUAGUGAAAAUGGGCAUAGUUUUAUUGACUUCAGUGGAGCUAUGCUUCUUUCCACCAUCUGGGGAAAAGACCCCGUCAACUAAGAGCCAAAGACAGGGGCAAAGGUCAGAAGGGUGGGGUGGGGGAUGAUCAACAUUUCUAGAAAUCACUAUGACUUUUUUCUGUAGGGGACUGAUUGGAAUCGUGAUGUUUUAAUAAUCUAUAAUAACUUACUCAGGUCAGUGACCAAAUCAACAAAUGAGGAUGCACAGCUGGAUUAAUUAUUCUGUUGUACAGGUUGAACCUCUAAAAUCCAGGACUCUCUGGCCUAGCAACAUCCAUGGACCAAAAAGCCCCAGCAGCCGGGAUCAGGAGCUGGUCAGUAGUUCAGCAACUGGGAGCCCUGCCAGGGCUGGCAGUGGCUGGGGAGCUCUAACCCUGGGGAGCCCCAGCUGGGGCUGGCAGCAACGGCAGGGGAAUCCCAGCUGGGGCGGCCAGGGAAUCCCAGUCCCACAGAGCCUCAGCAGAGCAGGAGGCAGCUGGAAAGCUGCCACCAGCAAAGGGGAACAGGAGCCCCAUUGGACCUGAUUGGAGCCCAGGGGCAGGGACUUGUGGCAGGGAGUGGGGCCGACAGCCCGGAAGGCAACCCAGAAGCCGGGCCGGCAGCCAGCAGGAAAACACUGAUCUCCCUGGUCUGGCAAACUCCCUGGUUCGGGAUCUCUCAGGUCCCACCGGUGUUGGACUAGGGAGGUCCAACCUGUAAGAAGUAUGAACUGAUGUGCUGAUAGUGACAUCACAGUUUUAGAGUCACUGCUCCCCUCUUGUGGUCUCCCCCAGGGCUAUGAGCAGUGCAUCACUCGCAGUUCUGAGUCACAGCCCAGCUUUUUCUAAUAAACACGUUUAGUCUUCAAGUAAAAGCAUCACAGAGAAAAUAAAUCCAAUACAAUAAAAGUUCCCAUGUGCAAGCGAAAAGCAUAUCCAAGUCACCCACCAUACUUAUGAGCCUUUCCAGUUCUUCUGCGAUGGAUGGAGUCCCUCACGGGCAGAAUGCCCUUGCUAGUUACCUUCAGUUAAAUGCAGCCUCUUUAUAUCCAAAGUGCCUUCUUUGUCUGUUUGUCUCUGAAAAUCCUAGGCUGAACCAGUCCCCAGCAGAUGGUACCUCUCUGGAGAUAUUUACAAACUAAGCGAUUUGGUGCCUGCAGGAGCUGUCUAGAGUUGCAUACAACCCCUAGCCCACAGUGAUACACAAACCAUUCAUAAACUGAAUACAAUAUGGUCCCCAAAGAUACUGCAUGGGUUUGCAGUAUCUGUUGCAGAUGUGAUUAGUGCUAAUUAUACAUCGGCACAUAUGUUGAUGCCUUAAAAGGGAAGGGUGAAUAUUUAUGCUUGUUACAGCUAAGCCAUUUGUCUGCCAUGUAAAAUGUGCAUUAGGAGAAGGGGGUAGAAUUCCAUGUAUGAUGUAGCAACGCCACUCCUUAAGGGAUAUAAGACUGACAGUAAUAAUGACAGAGUGGGUUGAUUAGUCUGAUGUGUCCUGAUUUGUCUUUCCCUGAGCACCUUGCUCUCUCUAAAGAGCCUCAUUCCAUGGAAACAAGGCAUGUUGAAAUUUAUGUCGAUACCUCCGCUUGUUAAAGAGUGUCUGAUUCUUGGAACAUUUUUUCCACCAGAGAUGCAAAAGCUGCAUAAUAGCAAUAAAUGAGAUUAAAAGCAGAUGGAGAAAAUUCAGUCUAUAUCCAAAUCACUUAGUGCCAAAAUUAGCCUGUCUCCUGUGUUAGUUACUUCGAUAGUGUUUAUUUACUAGUGCAAAUUUCUAGUACCUAGAUUCAACUUCCCAUCAACAAUCUAUCUAUUUAAUUCCUUAUCCACAGAUGCUACAGUCAGUGGUUAAAAAACCCAAGUCCCAUACAAAGCAGCAUAAGGAUCAGAGAGCUCAUUUCCUUUGUAAAAAAAAAAAUGAAGCAAAAUGUGCAUCUCACACAGUAGCUGGUCUUUUCAGAGGACCCUAAAGGAACUGGUCACCCAAAUCCCAUUGACAAUCUUAGUUUCUUUUGAAAAUCCAGGCUCAUGUGUUUAGCAGCAUUCAGCCCCAGUGUGUAGGGGUUUGUGGAUGAAAAUGCGAUUUGCAUACUUUAUCUAUGGAUAUGCGUCCCAUAGUGUGCUACUCAGUGUAGACGUAGCCGUAGUGUGUGUGCUAUAGCACAGUAUAUUCACGUUGUGCCUUCCAUCCAUAGAUCCCAGGGCACUUUAUACAUAAAUCUCUCAACCCUCUGCAGAUCAGUAUGGUCUCCGUUUUACAGUCGGGAAUUGUCACGAGUUGAGCUCUCACUGCCACGGCGCCUCCAACUGGUCACUUGGGGAAUCAGCUCUCCUGCCUCAGCGUGCCCUCUGCGGCAUCUUGGGAUCAGGAUCCAUCUAGAUUAAGAUGCGUCAUCACAGAGGCUGGUUCUGCUCUCCCUUUUGAACAAUUUCUUUGUGUUUUCUGCCUCCAGACACAGAGACAGCAAACUGUCUGAAACCAGACAUCUGUUAAAUAUUGCAUGUGACAAAUGCUGCAGAAGCCAAGUUCCAGUGGGAAUCAACUUCAGUGGGAGAAGGCUCAGACCUUAACAGGGUUGGAAGUAUUGAUGAGUUUUAUGAUGUAAUUAGAGCAGGCAAAAUUAAUCAUGAGAAAUAAAAUGAUCCGGUGAAUUUGUAAUUUUUGUGAGUCGGUCUCAUCCCAUUCAGGUUUCUGCAGAUAGAUUUGAUCUACAUUAACAUUGGCUGAAUAGCAUAAGCCCGCGUUUCUCAAACUGUGGGUCCCGACCCCCCGGGGGGUCGCGAGCAACUUAGAGGGGGGGUCACGGUAUCACAAAGUUUGAGAACCCCUGGUGUAAGCCAAUCAUUUGCCAGCUUGUGGAUAUUGUGUGCUUACAGUGUUUGCUUUUUACAGCAUGUGAUUGGUUUCAUGGGUUUGUUUUUGUUCCCUGAUUGUAGGAACAACAAUGUUUAAGUAAUGAAAUGGUGGAUUUUAAAUAGCAAAUGCUCUCAUCCACUUGCAGAUAUCCUUGUUUUCUUAAGUAUAUGACCAUUCAUCAAAAUACAAUAGUAGAAUAUUUACACUGGCAUUAAAUUGUCCCUUCUUUUUGUAGGUGGAAUAGGUUUAAAGCAGACAUCAUAAAUCACAAUGUAAUUUCAAGGAGAAACUAUAUAGACCUGCUAUAACAUCACCUGAAUAUAAAGCAACUGUAUUGUCUAGUCCAUUGUUAUAAGGGUGAACGUGACCUCAUGAUAGACCCUUUUAGUUCUCUAUCUGUGUUCUUUAAUCAACUGGGCAUAGAAAAGAGUUGUUGUCUUUUUUUAAAAAAAAAUUGUGGAGUAUCUCACUCUAGUACCAAAUUGUGCUUGGUGAAUUAUUUACUUGUUAAUCCAAAAAUUCUUCAGUAGUUUCUCUUUCCACAAUCUAAGUCUUCAGUGAAGAGAAUUUAACUUUCCUUUUUCAAUUUGAACUUGGCAUGUGUUUUUAGUGGUGUUUAUUAAAGAGCCAAGUUUGCUCCUAGCAGCUUGCACAGAUGUACAGAGGGCCUUUUGACCUGCUCCUAUUGCUUCCUUCUAUCCUAGCAUCUAAACAGAACUGAUUAAACUCUCCUUGCUUUGGCAGUGGGGAAAACAGAUUAAUCUGAUAUGGAACUGCCAUCUCUGAUUCAGAUUUCCAAGGUCGUCUGUGCUACGCUGGCACAGAUUUGCUGGAAUAUGCUCGCAUGUGAUGGCCUGAUAGGUGGAUUAUACUCCUCCGUGCCUGUCAGCACUUCUCGGUGCUUUUGUAAACUAGCAUUUAGGGAGGACUGAAACACAUAAUUAUGCUUUUCUGUAAGAGUUCAAAUCCCCGGGUUUGAUGCUGAAGUUAUCCAGGAAUUCUAGCUGCUUGAUUUGGUAUUACACACAGCAGACUGUCAAACCCAAGUAUCAUAUUCGCUGGUUCCCAAGAACAUCCUUGACUCUCUCGUGCCCAGAUGGAAUUCUCACUGCAGCCAGUAGAAUUCUCACUGCAGCCAAUAGAAUUCAAGAACCUCGGAAUCUGCUCUGUAGAUCUUGGUGAUGGUUUAAACUGAGAAAGGGAAUCAAAGAACCAUAAGGCUAGAAGAGAGCACAAGGGUCAUCAUGUCUAAUCCUCGCCCAAGAUACAGGAUUUGUGACUAGCCAGCCUCCUUUUGAAAAUUCCUAGUGAAGGAGCUCCACAACCUGCCUAGACAGUUUGUUCCAUUGUUCUACAAUUUUUAGGAAUUUUUUUCCUGAGAUUUAAUCUAAAUUUG